GCUUAUAUUAGAACUGAGUUUCUUUCUAUUUAGUGUGCGUAUCGGUAUUUGUCCAUUUAUGUUAGGGUUGAGAUGACUAGGCAUCCAUUUGGUCGUUUUACGUUAGAAUGGAACUGGGCAAUAGAUUAGGUUGCAAGAUAAAUUUCUAAAGUUCUACUAGCUUAGGUACAAAUUAUUUUUCAGAAAUCAAACAUGCAAAAUUUCUAUGCAUGUUUUGAAAUUGGUUGUAGGAAGUGGGCUUCCAAGUCUUAACAAUAAUGGAGACUAUGAAAUCAGGGUAACCAAUUAGGGGUAACUAUAUAUUUCAAAAACGCAAAUUUUACACGCACACACACGCACACACAUUCUAUCAAGAAUUAGUUUUGAUUGGCACAAAUGAAGAUGAACAAUAAGAGGGUUUUCUAUUCAAAUUUACUUUUUGUAAUUUUAGGGGUUUUGAUCAUACAUGUGUAUUUAAUUUGGUUUUUUUUUUAGUUUCUGGAGACUCUGGUUUUUCGUUUUUUGGGCCUUUUCUUUGCUGCCUAGAAAGCCCUCUGUGCUCAAGGAACCCUGUUUCCCCUUUUUGUCUCUCUGUGCACUCAGAAAACAAGCCACCCUAAUUGAAGCUUUCUAUCUUCAGAUCACCAGCAAUAAUCACAUCAAGGUCCCAGGAGGAAUCACGAGGAUUCACUGCCGAAUUGAUUACAGAGAUUUGGAUCAUUUGAGGAAGAAGUUGGUUCCAUACUGUUUUGAGAUAGCUUUGUUUUAUGUUGCUGUGCUUGCAGGGCUUCUCCACAGGUUCCCUGCAAACUUUACUCAGGUGCGAGCCUAUGCUUUUUUCUUUCAACCCUUUGUCUCUUUCUUUUUGUUCUAUUAAACAUGUGCUCUAUGGUUCUCAUUUAGUACACUCUUAUGUACAACAAACAGUUGGUCAGAUUAGGAACUGGGAAUCUGUUAGGCAUUUAGAACAAAAAUACAUAAAAUGAAUCAUUCCAAAGCUUCUUUAGGGACUUAUGACAUAGCAUUAGAGAUGGGAAAGAAAGUGAUAUGUCAAAGGCAUUGUGGUGUACCAUGUGCAGAUGAUUAGGGAGGGUGCAAUACCAAGUGAAGAAUUACACCUUGAGAAGAGCUCUUGGAUUGUCAAUUGUGACUGGAAAUUCUACUCCUCACAUGGAUCAUAGAAAACCAAGGAACUUGAUAGCACAUAUUUACUAAGUCAGUUACCUACUUUGCAAUGACUUCUUUCUCCCUUCUUGAUUGCCAGGUUAAAUGUCUUAUUCAUGUGGUCAAGGCUGGUGCAUUCAAGUCCCACAGCAACACGCGGGCAUUUUUUGCUAGUUAGAACUAAAUUGUGAAAGAGUGCACAAUUCGUGGGUUCCCACUACAAUUAUUCAGAGCGUAAUAAAUAGUGAGACUACGAAAGAGUAGUCAAAGCAACAAAAGGACACUCAUUACAUAAUAGUGAUAAGUUCGUACGUUUAAACAGAAGGAAAUGCCAGAACUGCCGUGAUUCCUCGAGUGCCACAGAGAGUACAGUUAUCUAGGU